rnacentral:ribozyme from 14 species
AAACCUACCUACACAAUUUAAAAAAGAAAAAGAAAACGGGAAAGUAAAAGAGAGAGAAAAUUUGUCACCCCUUGGCAAAUUUACCACAUCACCUGCAUUAUUCGCUAUUCCU